UGACAUCCAGGAAUAAUGACGGAAAACUUCGUUUCCAGUAUUCCAACAUGGUGAUGACCAUUGCUUAUGCGUCUUCUAGUCUGUCCAACUCCCAAUAAUUUAAUGUUGAAUUAUAUUAUGCUGCACGAAAUUUCAGAUGUCAGGCUGCAGAAAUCUGUGAUCUUUUAUAGAUUAAUGGGGAAUUCUUGGCACUCAGCUAUAUCUUAUCUAAUUUAGGAAUAUUUAAAAAAAUUUGUUUCAGGAAAAAUUACUGCUUUUGAUCAGUCGUCAAACAUGGUUCAUGGUUUUGUAGAUGCAAAGCCUCGAUGUGGAAUCUCGACUUGGACCUUCUACAAUAGAAAAUUUUAUGCUUUGGACAUUUUGAGUCCAAAAUUUGAUAGUACAAUCCAGCAGAAUUUUAUUGAAUAUGUUGUGGAACUGAAACAAAUGCUGGACGCCAUGAUAAGCUUUCAGAAGAAUUAAGGUUGGAAAAAAGGAAUUGUAAAUGUUUUCCCAGAUGAAAGGUAUUCAGUGUGCAUUUCACUAUUGAGUUUGAUCAGCAGAUUCUUGUUAGUGGAUCGUGCUUCUCCAAUGGAUUGAUAAAGAGAAGCCACCCUUCCAGCCAAUUGAUGUUAAUUAGCUGUGGUAUCUCUUACCUUCUUUUCAUCAUCAUUGCCUAACUAAAGGUUGCUGGAUGAAGCUGCGAAAUGAGUGCUGAAACUUUCAACCACUGAACUUUAAGUGAUGGUGACUUUAAGACCCUGAACCUAAACCUCUACACCAAACCAGCUGCAAUGCUCCAGUCAGUGUAUCGAUAUAAGCAUUUAAUUGCUUAUCGUGGGUUAUGUAGCACUAAUUCACAUAAAUCUGGUCAAAUUGCCUGUUCACAACCUUCUUGUUGUAGGAUAAUAAUGAAUCAGAAUUAUGAGGCUGUUUGUUUUGAGAUAUAUUUUGUGUUUUCCUUUCCCAUUACUCCAACAUAUCAUGGUGUAGAAGAUUGCUUUGAUGAUUAUACCUCUGUAUGAUAUACUUUGGGGCAUCGAGCAAUGUCAUGCUCAUACUUCAUUCUAUCAUGUUGACCAGAAAUAAUUUUUCUGCAAGGUCUUGAUAAACUAUAUAGAAACUGCUGGAAGCACUACGAUUAGACUGAAGUCUCUUAGAGAACAAUACCACUUUGCUUGUGCAUGCCCUCGCUGUGCCAAAUUGGGGCAACCUGAUGAUAUCAAAGAAAGUGCAAUUUUGGAAGGCUACAGAUGUGAAGAUGACAGAUGCUCUGGUUUCCUGCUCCGUGACUCUGAGAAACAAGGAUUUGUGUGCCAACAGUGUGGACGUGUAAGAAAAAAAGAAGAGAUAAGAGGCAUUGCUAGUGAAAUUAAAUUGAUGUCAGAGAGGACGUCAUCGUCUACAUCCCCUAGUCAAGCUGUUUCCAUCUAUAAGAUGAUUGAGAAUCUCCAAGGAAACUAUAUCAUCCUUCUUCAAUCAUCUUGUUGCAAACCCGAGAAAAGAUAUUGAAG